GCGUUCAUAGCUCAGUUGGUUAGAGCACCACCUUGACAUGGUGGGGGUCGGUGGUUCGAGUCCAAUUGAACGCACCA
rnacentral:tRNA from 5 species